GGGCCUGUAGCUCAGUUGGCAGAGCAGUUGCCUCUUAAGCAAUUGGUCGUGGGUUCGAGUCCCACCAGGCCCUCCA
rnacentral:tRNA from 1 species